CCUACGGGGGGCAGCAGUGAGGAAUAUUGGUCAAUGGCCGGAAGGCUGAACCAGCCAUGCCGCGUGAAGGUCAGUGCCCUAUGGGCGUUAAACUUCUUUUGUGCGGGAGCAAUAAUGGUCACGUGUGGCCAGACGAGAGUACCGUACGAAUAAGCAUCGGCUAACUCCGUGCCAGCAGCCGCGGUAAUACGGGGGAUGCAAGCGGUAUCCGGAUUUAUUGGGUUUAAAGGGUGCGUAGGCUGUGAGGUAAGUCAGCGGUGAAAUGCCCCGGCUCAAAGGGGGGAAGUGCCAUUGAUACUGCCUGUCUGGAAUGCGGGUGCCGUGGGAGGAAUGUGUGGUGUAGCGGUGAAAUGCAUAGAUAUCACACAGAACACCGAUUGCGAAGGCAUCACACGAAUCCGCGAUUGACGCUGAUGCACGAAAGCGUGGGUAUCAAACAGGAUUAGAUACCCUAGUAGUC
rnacentral:rRNA from 1 species